rnacentral:rRNA from 1 species
UACGGAGGAUGCGAGCGUUAUCCGGAUUUAUUGGGUUUAAAGGGUGCGCAGGCGGAUUUUUAAGUCAGCGGUGAAAGUCUGUGGCUCAACCAUAAAAUUGCCGUUGAAACUGGAAGACUUGAGUGUGUUUGAGGUAGGCGGAAUGCGUGGUGUAGCGGUGAAAUGCAUAGAUAUCACGCAGAACUCCGAUUGCGAAGGCAGCAUACCGGCGCCCGACUGACGCUGAGGCACGAAAGCGUGGGGAUCGAACAGG